rnacentral:rRNA from 1 species
CCCGCCGGCGACCGGCGCACGGGUGAGUAACACGUAUGAAACCUGCCCGUAGCAGGGGGAUAAGCGGAAGAAAUUCCGUCUAAUACCGCGUAACAACCCAUGGAGGCAUCUCUGUGGGUUUAAAGGAAGCGAUUCCGGCUACGGAUGGUCAUGCGUCGCAUAGCUUGUUGGCGGGGUAACGGCCCACCAAGGCGACGAUGCGUAGGGGUUCUGAGAGGAAGGUCCCCCACACUGGUACUGAGACACGGACCAGACUCCUACGGAAGGCAGCAG